rnacentral:snRNA from 1 species
GUGCUCACUUCGACAGCACAUAUACUAAAAUUGGGACAAUACAGAUAAGAUCAGCAUGGGUCCUGCGCAAGGAUGACAUGCAAACUUGUGAAGCGUUCCAUACUUUA